ensembl:lncRNA novel transcript, antisense to TMEM259
AAACCCUGAAAGCCCCCGACACAGGCUGGGCAGUCCCAGAGGAAGGAGGUGGCUGGCCUCCCCCACCCCCACGGGCUCGGGAAGGUCAGGCCCAGCCAGCAGGGGUCAGAGGCGGCUCAGCUGUGCGGCUCAGGACCCCACCUCCGAGGGCGCCUCCGUUGGGGCCAUGGAGGCCGGGCUAGGCCCGCCUACCGCAGCCCCCAGGGGAGUUGUGUCAGAAGCUGCGGAGUCACUCGGGGGGACACUGUCCUGGGGGGCGUGGGGGAGGCCCCCAGCAGGGCCCAGCGGGCUGGCUGGACGCCGCUCCAGGAGGGAGGCGCUCAGGCCGGACAGGAAGGAGGCGUCUGUGAUGAUGGCAGCGGUCUCUGCCAUCCAACCCAGGUCACCACCGGCAGCUCGUAGUGGUGGAAGAAGUAGAUCAUGGAAUGCUGCGGGAGGGA